AGCCCUCGAAACCCUAGAAACCCGCGGCUCCACUCCGCUCGAGCUCCACCGUGCGAGGCGACAGGCGAGGCGGCGGGCUUCAACACCGGGCCGGCGAGCCGCGGAAGUGGGGCGCGUCGGCGCUCGACCCCUCCACCCCCCCUCCGUCUCCGCGUGAUCUGCAGGCGAGCCGCGGAAGCGGGGCGCGUCGGCGCUCGACCCCUCCACCCCCCUCCGUCUCCGCGUGAUCUGCAGGCGAGCCGCGGAAGCGGGGCGCGUCGGCGCUCGACCCCUCCACCCCCCCUCCGUCUCCGCGUGAUCUGCGACCGAGGGCUGCUCGGCUGCCCCAACUGCUGCCGUUGAACAAGGCUCAGCUAGUUAGUACUGCCUCCUUCCGGCAACCUCAGCUAGUUAGUCCCCCGCCGCCGCCAUCCGCCCCAAGACGACCGCCGGCCUAACCACCCCUGGAUCCCGAACCACAUCGUGAGGGUGAACGCGACGCCUCGUCACCAUGGCUGCGUCCCACGUCAACACCAAUGGCGAGCUUCUAGAUCUGUAUCAACUUCCCUUCGUCCUCGGUGUUCAACGGAACAUAAGAUUGUCGUCGCUCGGGGAACUGUCUACGGCACCCGAUAUGUUCGAACAGCUCCAUUUCCUAACCAGAACUAGACAGUGGACCUGUGCACAGAUGGAAGUUCUGCGAGGAUACAGCUGGCUAGCUGGCUGGCUGGUACGCCUCCGCGACGACGUUCUUGAACCAUUACUGCCUGUUCAUAUUCCAAAUCCUGUGCUGCACGGCCAGCAGGGUUUUCUUCCCGUGAUUACCCGCAUCAUGCACGAAGCAAUUCAGCUAAUGCAUGCAAAAAAGGACAUUGGGUUUAAGCCUGUACAGCUUGGAACGCGACUUAAUAUUUUCAGCGAAGUCCUAAUUGAUCUGGCUGAAAAAGUUUUGGGAGACGGCUUGAGCGUAGCACAGUUCCAACUGCAUAUUCCACAUCUGAUCAUUUCCAUCAACAUGCUACUCCACGCGCAGAUGGCAUUCUGAGGCUGGUGGUGGUCGUGGUGGCGGCCCACCUGUUGGUGGAGGACGAUGUGGGCUGAGCCGCUGUCUGAGUCGAGGAAGGAACUUGCUGCUGCCUUUAUCUUUGUCAAUGGAGAAUAUUCUUGUGUUUAUCUUUGUCAAGUAGACAUGCUAGUUGAUUUUGUUAGUAUCCAUCUUUGCUAAGUCUUGGUGAUCCUUUUGGUUGUCCUGUUUUAGGAUUCUUUUCCACAGUGACCUUAUUUUUGUUAUCCAACUCAGUGGAUUUGACUUUAUUGACACGAGCAAUGAUGCAUACGAUUUUAUCACCUGAAAUUCUGUUCGUUC